CUCCUCCUCCUCCUCCUCCUCCUCCUCGUCUUCCUCGUUUGCUCUCUGAAGCAGCUGUGUGUUCAGCUGAGCAGAGAGAAGAAACCUCAAUUAUUAAAUCUCCAACACAUUUAUUAUUACACAGCUGGAGGAGGGGGAAGAAGAGGAGGAGGAGGUGGAGAAGAAGGAG